UACGGAGGGUGCAAGCGUUGUCCGGAUUUAUUGGGUUUAAAGGGUGCGUAGGCGGCCAAUUAAGUCAGUGGUGAAAGCCGAUAGCUUAACUAUCGAACUGCCAUUGAUACUGAAUGGCUUGAGUACAGUUGAGGUAGUUGGAAUGAGUAGUGUAGCGGUGAAAUGCAUAGAUAUUACUCAGAACACCGAUUGCGAAGGCAGAUUACUAAACUGCUACUGACGCUGAGGCACGAAAGUGUGGGGAUCAAACAGGAUUAGAUACCCUGGUAGUCCACACUGUAAACGUUGGAUACUCGAUGCGCGCGAUAAACAGUGCGUGUCCAAGCGAAAGCGAUAAGUAUCCCACCUGGGAAGUACGCCCGCAAGGGUGAA
rnacentral:rRNA from 1 species